GGAUGUGCAGUACGAGAGAAAGAAAGCGGUGCAGAUUAACUCCAAGUUCUGGAGGCCUGAGCAAUUGGAAGGAUGACACUGACGUCAAGUGACAGGGGAAAAAGGCUGUAGGUGGAGCAGGCUUGGCGAGAGGGAAGAACAGGAAUUUCAUUUGGAGAGAGUGUUUGAGGCGUCUAGUAGAUAUCCAAGUGGAGAGGUCCAGUGGGCUGCUGAAUACGACUUUCGAGUUCUGGGAUGGAAAGGGGAAACGAGUUAUGGUACGACAGAACCUAAAUUCAAGAAAGGCUGAAGAACCUGGAAAGCAUUGGUGUAAAUCCCAGUCCAAGUCUGAAGCCAGAGAACAAGUAGCACCAACGUCCAAGGGCAGAGGAAGAUGGAUGUCCCGGCUUAAGAAGAGACAGAGGGAACUUAUCCUUCCUCUGCCUUUUCUAUUCAGGCCCUCAGUGGAUAGGCUGAUGCCCACCUGCAUUGGUGAGGGUGAUCUUUUUCACUCAGUCUACUGAUUCAAAUGCUAAUCUCUUCUGGAAACACCCUCCUAGCCACACCCAGAAAUAAUGUUUACCAGCUCUCUGGGCACCCCUUAGCCCAAUCAAAUUGACACACAAGAGUAACCAUCACACAGAGAUUCUGGCUUGACCCUCAGUAGAGCUUAUGCAAUGUGGUGCUCUCAGAAUAGAAUUUCUCAAAUUGCAUUACCCAGAUUACUAGUUCAUGAACUCUUAAUAGGGUUCUGUGAAGGAAAAAAAUUUCUUUUAAAAAUAUAGAUGUAAUGAAAAUGUCAAACACGCUUGGACAGCUGUUUAUUCUGUGAUAAUUUAUCUUUAAGAAAACAUACACUCCAAACUGCUACCAUUGGUUAUGUAUGGGGAGGAGGUUUUUCCGCUCUCCCCUCUUUAUACGUUUCUGUUAUAAUG